AUACGUAGGGGGCGAGCGUUGUCCGGAAUGAUUGGGCGUAAAGGGCGCGUAGGCGGCCCGGUAAGUCUGGAGUGAAAGUCCUGUUUUUAAGAUGGGAAUUGCUUUGGAUACUGUCGGGCUUGAGUGCAGGAGAGGUAAGUGGAAUUCCCAGUGUAGCGGUGAAAUGCGUAGAGAUUGGGAGGAACACCAGUGGCGAAGGCGAAUUACUGGACUGUAACUGACGCUGAGGCGCGAAAGUGUGGGGAGCAAACAGGAUUAGAUACCCUGGUAGUCCACACUGUAAACGAUGAAUGCUAGGUGUAGGGGGUAUCGACCCCUUCUGUGCCGCAGUCAACACAAUAAGCAUUCCGCCUGGGGAGUACGGUCGCAAGGUUGAAACUCAAAUGAAUUGACGGGG
rnacentral:rRNA from 1 species